GGUAGCCGAAGAUGAUACCAGGGUCAGUUGUAGGUGUGAUUAAUCUCACCUCACCACCGCCUGGAGCCCAUGUGUCAUAGAGACCACCAAGGAAUUGCCAGUUAGCGGCAAAAGCUAUUGCUCCUAAGCCAAGAACACAUAAAUGACGGCCAAGAAUGGUUGUCAUUUGGUCCUUAUCUCUCCA
rnacentral:antisense_RNA from 1 species